AAUCAACGCUGGCGGCGUGCCUAACACAUGCAAGCCGAACGAGAAAGUGGAGCAAUCCAUGAGUACAGUGGCGACCGGGUGAGUAACACGUGACUAACCUACCCUCGAGUGGGGGAUAACUCCGGGAAACCGGGGCUAAUACCGCAUAACAUCGCUUGGUGAAAUUCCUUGUGAUCAAAGGAGCAAUUCGUUUGAGGAGGGAGUCGCGUCUGAUUAGCUAGUUGGUGAGGUAACGGCCCACCAAGGCGAUGAUCAGUAGCCGGCCUGAGAGGGCGCACGGCCACACUGGAACUGAAACACGGUCCAGGCUCCUACGGGAGGCAGCAGUGGGGAAUUUUGCGCAAUGGGGGAAACCCUGACGCAGCAACGCCGCGUGGAGGAUGAAGUCCUUUGGGAUGUAAACUCCUUUCGACCGGGAAGAUUAUGACGGUACCGGAGGAAGAAGCACCGGCUAACUCUGUGCCAGCAGCCGCCGUAAAAC
rnacentral:rRNA from 1 species